rnacentral:rRNA from 1 species
GGUGGCGAAGGCCGGAUCUUUUGGGCCCAUUACUGACCGCUGAGGGAGCGAAAAGCCGUGGGGGAGCGAAACCAGGAUUAGAUACCCCUGGUAGUCCCACCCCGUAAAACCGGUGGAACUUAGGUGUGGGGCGACAUUUCCAAGUUCGUUCGGUGCCCGCAGCUUAACGCAUUAAGUUCCCCGCCUUGGGGAAGUACGGCCCGCAAAGGCUAAAAACUCAAAGGAAUUGACGGGGGGCCCGCACAAGCAGCGGAGCAUGUGGCUUAUUUCGACGCAACGCGAAGAACCCUUACCAAGGCUUGACAUACACCGGAAACGGCCAGAGAUGGUCGCCCCCUUGUGGUCGGUGUACAGGUGGUGCAUGGCUGUCGUCAGCUCGUGUCGUGAGAUGUUGGGUUAAGUCCCGCAACGAGCGCAACCCUUGUCCUGUGUUGCCAGCAUGCCCUUCGGGGUGAUGGGGACUCACAGGAGACCGCCGGGGUCAACUCGGAGGAGGGUGGGGACGACGUCAAGUCAUCAUGCCCCUUAUGUCUUGGGCUGCACACGUGCUACAAUGGCCGGUACAAUGAGCUGCGAUACCGUGAGGUGGAGCGAAUCUCAAAAAGCCGGUCUCAGUUCGGAUUGGGGUCUGCAACUCGACCCCAUGAAGUCGGAGUUGCUAGUAAUCGCAGAUCAGCAUUGCUGCGGUGAAUACGUUCCCGGGCCUUGUACACACCGCCCGUCACGUCACGAAAGUCGGUAACACCCGAAGCCGGUGGCCCAACCCCUUGUGGGAGGGAGCUGUCGAAGGUGGGGCUGG